rnacentral:rRNA from 1 species
GAUGAACGCUGGCGGCGUGCCUAAUACAUGCAAGUCGAGCGAACGGACGAGAAGCUUGCUUCUCUGAUGUUAGCGGCGGACGGGUGAGUAACACGUGGAUAACCUACCUAUAAGACUGGGAUAACUUCGGGAAACCGUAGCUAAUACCGGAUAAUAUUUUGAACCGCAUGGUUCAAAAGUGAAAGACGGUCUUGCUGUCACUUAUAGAUGGAUCCGCGCUGCAUUAGCUAGUUGGUAAGGUAACGGCUUACCAAGGCAACGAUGCAUAGCCGACCUGAGAGGGUGAUCGGCCACACUGGAACUGAGACACGGUCCAGACUCCUACGGGAGGCAGCAGUAGGGAAUCUUCCGCAAUGGGCGAAAGCCUGACGGAGCAACGCCGCGUGAGUGAUGAAGGUCUUCGGAUCGUAAAACUCUGUUAUUAGGGAAGAACAUAUGUGUAAGUAACUGUGCACAUCUUGACGGUACCUAAUCAGAAAGCCACGGCUAACUACGUGCCAGCAGCCGCGGUAAUACGUAGGUGGCAAGCGUUAUCCGGAAUUAUUGGGCGUAAAGCGCGCGUAGGCGGUUUUUUAAGUCUGAUGUGAAAGCCCACGGCUCAACCGUGGAGGGUCAUUGGAAACUGGAAAACUUGAGUGCAGAAGAGGAAAGUGGAAUUCCAUGUGUAGCGGUGAAAUGCGCAGAGAUAUGGAGGAACACCAGUGGCGAAGGCGACUUUCUGGUCUGUAACUGACGCUGAUGUGCGAAAGCGUGGGGAUCAAACAGGAUUAGAUACCCUGGUAGUCCACGCCGUAAACGAUGAGUGCUAAGUGUUAGGGGGUUUCCGCCCCUUAGUGCUGCAGCUAACGCAUUAAGCACUCCGCCUGGGGAGUACGACCGCAAGGUUGAAACUCAAAGGAAUUGACGGGGACCCGCACAAGCGGUGGAGCAUGUGGUUUAAUUCGAAGCAACGCGAAGAACCUUACCAAAUCUUGACAUCCUUUGACAACUCUAGAGAUAGAGCCUUCCCCUUCGGGGGACAAAGUGACAGGUGGUGCAUGGUUGUCGUCAGCUCGUGUCGUGAGAUGUUGGGUUAAGUCCCGCAACGAGCGCAACCCUUAAGCUUAGUUGCCAUCAUUAAGUUGGGCACUCUAAGUUGACUGCCGGUGACAAACCGGAGGAAGGUGGGGAUGACGUCAAAUCAUCAUGCCCCUUAUGAUUUGGGCUACACACGUGCUACAAUGGACAAUACAAAGGGCAGCGAAACCGCGAGGUCAAGCAAAUCCCAUAAAGUUGUUCUCAGUUCGGAUUGUAGUCUGCAACUCGACUACAUGAAGCUGGAAUCGCUAGUAAUCGUAGAUCAGCAUGCUACGGUGAAUACGUUCCCGGGUCU